GUGGUUGCAGGCUUCCAUUGCUAUAAUUCUGCUGCAAACUGCUUCUUUUAUCCUCAAAGAAUAUUUAAAAAAAAAAGUUACUCCAAAUUUGCAGUAACACUGUAAGAGGGGAGAGAGAGAGAGAGAGACAGAAAGUGGAUGAUAUAACUGUUGUUUUGGUACUUGGAAUUUUCUAUAGGUAUAGAUUCUUGUCUUUGCUGAAUUUUUAUGAGACUUUGUUUUGGAUCCUUUUAUCUUAAUUGUUUUGACUUUGUUUUAUUGUAGUAAAGUGUGCCCCCCCAUUUGUAGGUUCCACGCUUCUGGUCUUGAGGUUCAAAAAGCUCUUACUUGAUAUUUGUAGAUAAAAUUCCAGCAGAUAUCAGCACUUAUACUUCCAUUGGUAAAAUGUUAACUUCAGUCAUUUUUAUACAUUUCCUAACCCCACCCAAAUAUUCCAUUGCUUUCAAUAUUUUUCUUUUUUCUUUUUAAUUAUAAUAGGGUUACUACGGACUUAUGAAGCAUUAAAGUUCCAGACUAUACAAGGACCACUGGAAUUAGGCUUUAACCUACCCUCCCUUAUUUGAUAUCCUCACCAGUUGAUCAAGUUUAGUUUGAACCAUGCUUAAAUUUCACUCAAUUGGAUUUGAAUGUGAAGUUGAGUAGGUAAAUGAAGCUUUUAUCAAAAUAGAAUCGGUAUAACAUAAGAUACCUGGAUGGUUCAUGUUAAGAGUGCUUUCUUUACAUUUCAUUAAGAUUAGGGUUUCUCUUUCUCUUAACAUAUACACACACGCGCACAUAGGCACAUAUGCCUUUUUCCAACAAUUCCUAAGGAAAGUGCUUUUAGAUUAUGCCAAAAUUUAUUGUCUUGUACCAAUGGUAUUGAGAACGUUUCAACAUCAGAUCUGAAUGUUCGUGCCUACCUUGCUUAGGUAGUAGACUAGUAGAAAUAUGGAGUGUUUUUUUAAUAUGCAAGUGGAUCUACCUAGACAAACUAGAUAAGUGUAUAUAUUAAGGCAGGGACAGAUUAUAGGACAAAUAUUCGUAGCCAUAAAACAAAUCCGAUAAGGAAGUACAAUAUGCAGCUUAACAAACAGUUCUUAUCUGUAUAUGUGUGUCUAUAUAUCUAACUUUUGCUGUAUUGGGAGAUGUUCACUAGAAAAUUGAAUUCAUGGUUUUAAGGCCAACUCUUUUGUUCGUUUAUGAAGCUGCAUAGAUCAUUUGAUCUAACUACUUUAAUUAUUUGAUCCAUUCAUUCAUAUAUUGUAUUAAUGCAGCCAACUAAUCUAGCUCAUAUAUAUAUAUAUACCAUUGGUCCUUUUUGGGUAUUUAUAAAUUAUAUGGAUUUAAUUGAUAUACUACGUGUUAUAGCCAUUUGCUUUUUGGAAGGGAAAAUAGACCAGAGCUGAAAAGCUGUGACUGCCUUGUGUUUUGUGAAUGUCUACUUGAAUCUCGGUAAUCUUAAGAGCUACUACUGUAACCGUGUUGCAACAUUCUGUCUCACAGCCUCUAUUAAAUAAUACUAAUUAAUCUCAAACUCUUCCACUUCAAAGAACAAGAUAAUUGGAUGCCACCUCUUUAAAGGUAGUUCUAUAAACCAAGAGAAUUAAACCGGUGCUUUGAAGUAAUUUCCUUUACGCAUGUGCACACAUGCAGCAUUUUCUUCUACAUUACUAGUGUCUGUGUAUAGGGCUGUAAAUUAUGAACAAUUAAAUUUUUAUUCGUUUAUGUUCAAUAAGAUUUUGAAGCUUGUUUAUUAAACGAACACAAAAAAACCUUAAAAUAUUGUCAUACACAAUCGAUAAUAUUUUGCAGCCAAAAAACAAGAUUGAAGGGUUAGAGAUACUGUCAUAAUGAUGGCUCACUUUGGGUUGUACAGAACUUUCUUGCAUAUAAAUGGCUUUUGAUCUUGAGGGUCAACAAAGUUGCCAUUUAUCGUUGUUGGGCGAACUUUUACAUUGAGAUAAAAGGGCAGGGCCCUCCCUCAUGAAGCUUCAUUUAGUGCCAAGCAUAUUACCCAUAUCUACUGGUUCGAACAAAGAGUUAUGCCUCAAAAGCGACGUGACUGAACCAUUUUCCCCAACACAUGGGGGCGGAAAAUUAUUGCUUUAACUUGCCAUUUCCCUUUCACUUAAUUUGUCCAUAGCUAUUGGCUUACCUCCCCUCCGAAGUUUUUUAAUUUUACACUCUAAUUAAUAUUUAUCUUUCUCUAGUUUUUUGAAAUCCACUAAGGUUUUAGUUGAUUAAGACAGUAGGGCACUGAACAUGGAAGCUGAAACUACUACUGAUGUAUAAGAGCGCGACAUAUAAUAAAGAUAACCAAAGUUACACAUUUUGUUGUGUAUGAAUAGUUUGAAAAAAAGUUAGCUAUAUGAGCUAAAUGAAUUAAAUUUAAUUUUAUUAAUCCUAUCCAAAUUAGUUGUUUCUUUUACCAUCUUAGAUUUAUUUCAUUUGAAGAAAACAUUCAAAAUUUAAAAGUUGUCUUUUUAAUUUUUGUCCAUGCUUUGUCAAUAAUUGGGUUCACUCUGAUUUUUUUUAUUUUUAUUUUUUUAAAUAAGUGCCCCCAGUACAGGAAAGCUAGAUGAAAUAACAGGUCUAAUUAGUAUAGUCUAACAUCAUCAUCAUUAUUCAAAAUCAUGCAUGUUUCCAAGCUUUUUUUCAUUCUUUUAGAGAAAGAUUCCCCAUCACCAAUUCUUUUACUCUCUAAUGGUCCAUUUUCCCUUCUUUUUCCAUCUUGAUUACACCUUAAUUAUGGUUUUUCCCUUUUCCUUCUUUCUUUCUUUUGGGGUUUUCUAUUAGGUGAGAUUCUUCUAACCCUUCUUUUAACAUCCCUCACUUUAAUUAUGGAUCACUUUUUUUUCGUCAUUAUUUUUUUUUUCUAAUAAUGCCUACCGAGUUUUUUUAAGCUUAAUAUAUAAAAGGUAAAGUUCAGUACAGCGAGAAAAGUAAUGUUCACCGCAGCCUCGAAUCAAGCUAAAAGCAUUGAGCUCUUACUAGUCUUAGCACAAUUAUUCACUUCUCUACAAACAUAAACAAUCUUAACAUUUUGCACAAGGAUAAUACAAUGAUCAAUAAUCUUAAACGUUUCAGCAAAUCUCCAUUGACGAAGCACUGGGUUGAAGCACC
rnacentral:lncRNA from 1 species